rnacentral:misc_RNA from 1 species
AUGAAUUUAAAUUCAGAAGGGUAAAAUAUAGCACCAGACAGUAUAAUAUUCUAUUCCUGCACAAACUAUGUUAUCUGCAUCUGCAUAUCCAAAUUCCUAAGAACUGGCCAUGUAAUGAACCAACUCCACCAAGACUAGAAAGGAAAGAGAUGAGUUUUAACUAAAAUCUAUAUGCUGCAAAAAAGCAUAGAGAAUCCCAAAAUUAUGUCUAGUAUACAUUUCCUAUACUAGACUCGGUAACUACCAAGGCCUUCUUGAACCGCCAAUAGGAAUUACAUUAGACCCAGAUCUCUGUCCCCCCCGGUUCCCAAAGCCACCUCGUCCUCUAGACCUGAAAUUGCUUCCUCCAGUGCUAGGACCACUAGACCUAGCUAAUGCAGAAAGUUGAGGGGGAACAAUUUGUCCUGCCUGCUGCAGGAUCUUGAUAAGCUCUCUCGUAAACUUGGCAUUUGCGUGAGUGAAAAAUGUAAAAGCAGUCCCUGUUGCGCCAGCACGUCCAGUUCUGCCAAUCCUAUGAAUAUAAUCCUCGAGACUUGAAGGGAAAUCAUAGUUGAUAACACACUUUAUGUCCUUAACAUCAAGACCACGUGCAGCAACAUCAGUGGCAAUCAUUAUGGGACUUCUUCCACUUUUGAAAUCAGCCAGGACCCAAUCCCUCUCAUCCUGGCUUUUAUCACCAUGGAUAGAUAAAGCUGGCCAUCCAUCCAUUCUCAAUUGUCUGGUGACUUGAUCACAUCCUUUUUUUGUUUCCACAAAUAUUAGAAUUCGGCUUCCAUCCAUCACUUCUUUCAAAAGCCCAAUCAACCUGCUAUAUUUCUCUAAAUCUGUGACAACUUCAAUGACUUGCCUUAUAGAUUGAUUUGCUUUCAAUUCUGGAGACCCAAUGAUGACCUUAUAGGGAUUACGUAGAAACUGCCUAGCCAGCGCUUCAACCUCCCUGGGCCAAGUGGCACUCCAAUACAAGGUUUGUCUAUCUGGUCUAAUCUGGGAAAUUAGUUUCCUUAUUUGAGGCUCAAACCCCAUAUCCAGCAUUCGAUCAGCCUCGUCCAAUACAAGAUAUGUCACCCGCUUCAGGUUUGUAUGUUGAGCUUCCAGCAUAUCUAUUAACCGACCGGGGGUUGCUAUCACAAUUUCAACUCCUCUUCUAAGGUCACGGAUUUGAGGUCCUUUUGGGGCACCACCAUAUAUGCAAGUGCUUCUUAUGUUGGCACGUGAUCCAAAUUUCACAGCUUCUUCUUGAAUCUGAACAGCUAAUUCUCUUGUAGGUGCUAAUACCAGCACAAUUGGACCAUCACCUUGUGCCAACCGGGGCUGUGCGCUGACAUGGACCAAAGCAGGCAAUAAAUAUGCCAAAGUCUUUCCAGAACCGGUUUCAGCAAUUCCAAUUAAGUCUCUGCCCUUUAGAGCCAUUGGCCAUCCUUGUGAUUGGAUAGGUGUUGGCUCAACAAAUCCUAGUCUUGAAAUAACCUCGAGGCAAUAAUCAGGAAAGUUCGCCUCAUGGAACAUCUGAAUUGGCCUAGGGACAUCCUGUCCUUCAAUGGUAAUGUCACGCCGUGCACGAUAAUGAGCAACCUCCUGAUCCGUCAUUGCCCUCACAGCAUGAUUUUCAACAUAAAAAUUCUUCUCAAAAGGUACCAAAUUUCCAAAGUCUUGCUUUGGAAGAGUAAGGUUGUCAAGAUCAUCUCGCGAUCUCCCAUGCCUACCUCCUCUCCCGCCACUACUACCACGUCCUCCAUCUGAACUAAACCUUCCACCUCCUCGUCCGCCACUGUAGCCUCCAUCAAAACCCCUACCUCCUCUCCCACCACCACCACCACUCCUACCUCCACUGUAGCUUGCCCCAGCACCAAAUCUCCCAGGCCGUUCCCCCAUACCACCAUUAGCGACUCUGUCAACUCCUCCACCUCCAAACCUGCCCAUAUCCGACCCUCUUGCAAACCCACCUUCAAAAGGUUGAUACCCACCACCAACGCGUCCAGAUCCACCCAUACCCCCUCUAGAACCACCAUCCAUAGGCGGUGGACCCCCUGCCUGAGGACCUCCAUAAGGAAGCGGCCCACCACGGCCAUAGCUAGCGGCACCUCCACCGGGCAUAGGCCGUGGAUACAUAGAAGGCUGCGGACCCAUUAGGUCACUUCGUCGCUGUCGAUAGGAGCCUGAAUCACCGUAUCUGGAGUCGUAAUUAGGGUAGCUCAUAGUCGGACGAGAGAAUUAGGGUUUUUCGGAUUUGAAAGCUGAAAGGGAGGCAAAGAAAACUGGAUUUUCCCCUUCAAUCGUAUCGUGUUUCCCUCCUCUCUUUGCUAUGUGUAAAGCCUUGUAUUUCUCUUCAAUUUCGCAAAUGUAAUAU